ACAUUUGUCACAUCAGAGAAAAUAGAAGAGAGAGAGAGAGAGGGAGAAGGAACGCAGCAGAGAGAUAGAGAGAGGGAGAAGGCCGGUGGAGAUCAAGUCAAGAGAGCUACUGUAGCCACUCCAAAAAAAAUUUGGAAAAAUCUGAGGGCCUAUACCACCGUCAGACCAGUUUUCCUCCGAAAACAUUACCGAAUUUCAGUUUCAGGGUCAUCAAAGCUGUUAGCUAAUAUUCUGUACUCAUGGGUCUAUCUAUUGGGAACUUAAUUGCUAGAUGGGAUGAAAUGGGACUUCCAAUCUAUCCAAUUUUGGGGAUGUUUGGAGCAGACAGAUUUGAUGCUAUUCUUCUUCCAAGCUAGAUGAGUGAUCAAUAAUAAUAGUUAGCCAUUUGCUCUAACCUCUAAAUUUGGAAUGAUGUCUGGGGCUAUAUAAUGGUUGUUGGAGCAUCAAAGCCAACUAUAGUGGCUGGUGUAGAUAGGUUUUCCAGUAUGAAAAAGUAGAAUAUUGGUUUGACUUGCCUGCACAAACCAUCACCCUAGAUUUUGAGAAAGAUCUGCAUUUACUGAAGUUGAGAAUUGCCCUUGAUUUGUAGAGGCACUACAAGAAGGGAGAUUCAAAAUCCAAAACUUUGCCCAUUUGAGAAGUGCCAUUGAUCUGUAGAGGCACUACAAGAAGGGUGAUUCAAAAUCCAAAACUUUGCCCAUGUAUAUGCAGACCAGGAUGGUGAUAGAGUCAGCAUCAGACUUCUUCACAGGUAGACUAACAAAGAAGGGGAGAAAGGGAACAAUUGCAUCUGAGGUGUUAUCUGAUCCCUUCCCUUGCUGACUACAGGUGAGAUAUGCAACUCUAUUGAAAACCAUAUGACCAUAUCAUGACAUGAUGUGUUGAGUUCAAAGGGUGAAAGGAAUGUGGUGUUGCCAUUUGUAAAAAUAUGUUAUUUUGCCUAUAUAUAAUGGUUGAUUAAGAUGAAUUCAGCAAAGGGAGAUCUAAAUUCUAUAUGAGCUUGCUUAUCUUAGUUGUAGCCUUCAAAUGGACUUACAAAAAAAAAAAAAAAUUCAGACAGACAUAAUUUGUGAAGAAAAUGUGAAGCAUGGUCAUCAUAUAUAACACAGUAAUAAAAACUUGAGAGAGCAUAUAGCAUUAGAUUUUGUUUGGGGGGGAGGGGGGGUGGGCACCAGAAAGUUGACCUUGUUAUUUUUUCUUUGUAUUUCUGGAAAUUAUUUCCCACAGAAACUUCCAUCUUCACUCACCCCCACAUAUUAAAAAUUUGGAGUCCUCUAUUGUGCAGCUUAACAUUUCCAUUGCUACAGUGAAUGAUCUGAUAAACUGUGAUACUCUUACCAAGUGACAUGAGAAACAGAAUCCUCUCAGCUGAUUUAUGAUUCAUAGCUAUAUUCACAUGUGCUGUUUCUCUUUGA